AGAGUUUGAUCCUGGCUCAGGACGAACGCUGGCGGCGUGCCUAAUACAUGCAAGUCGAGCAGACUGAUGGGAGCUUGCUCCCAUCAGUCAGCGGCGGACGGGUGAGUAACACGUGGGUAACCUGCCUGUAAGACUGGGAUAACUCCGGGAAACCGGGGCUAAUACCGGAUAACUCAUUUCCUCGCAUGAGGAAAUGUUGAAAGGUGGCUUUUAGCUAUCACUUACAGAUGGACCCGCGGCGCAUUAGCUAGUUGGUGAGGUAAUGGCUCACCACGGCGACGAUGCGUAGCCGACCUGAGAGGGUGAUCGGCCACACUGGGACUGAGACACGGCCCAGACUCCUACGGGAGGCAGCAGUAGGGAAUCUUCCGCAAUGGACGAAAGUCUGACGGAGCAACGCCGCGUGAGUGAUGAAGGUUUUCGGAUCGUAAAGCUCUGUUGUUAGGGAAGAACAAGUACUGUUCGAAUAGGGCGGUACCUUGACGGUACCUAACCAGAAAGCCACGGCUAACUACGUGCCAGCAGCCGCGGUAAUACGUAGGUGGCAAGCGUUGUCCGGAAUUAUUGGGCGUAAAGCGUGCGCAGGUGGUUUCUUAAGUCUGAUGUGAAAGCCCACGGGCUCAACCCGUGGGAGGGUCAUUGGAAACAGUGGGGGG
rnacentral:rRNA from 1 species